UACGAGGGGCCCAAACGUUAUUCGGAAUUACUGGGCUUAAAGAGUUCGUAGGCGGCGCAGAAAGUAGGGUGUGAAAGCCCUCGGCUCAACCGAGGAAUUGCGCUCUAAACUACUGUGCUCGAGGAACCUAGAGGUGAGCAGAACUGAUGGUGGAGCGGUGAAAUGCGUAGAUAUCUGGAGGAAUACCGGUGGCGAAGGCGGCAUCCUGGACCAUAACUGACGCUGAGGCGCGAAAGCGUGGGGAGCAAACAGG
rnacentral:rRNA from 1 species